ACAUUGUAUUCUCCUAAUGAACAGGUAACUGGUCUGUGUUACAUUGUAUUCUCCUAAUAAACAGGUAACUGGUCUGUGUUACAUUGUAUUCUCCUAAUAAACAGGUAACUGGUCUGUGUUACAUUGUAUUCUCCUAAUAAACAGGUAACUGGUCUGUGUUACAUUGUAUUCUCCUAAUGAACAGGUAACUGGCCUGUGUUACAUUGUAUUCUCCUAAUGAACAGGUAACUGGUCUGUGUUACAUUGUGUUCUCCUAAUGAACAGGUAACUGGUCUGUGUUACAUUGUAUUCUCCUAAUAAACAGGUAACUAGUCUGUGUUACAUUGUAUUCUCCUAAUGAACAGGUAACUGGUCUGUGUUACAUUGUAUUCUCCUAAUGAACAGGUAACUGGUCUGUGUUACAUUGUAUUCUCCUAAUGAACAGGUAACUGGUCUGUGUUACAUUGUGUUCUCCUAAUGAACAGGUAACUGGUCUGUGUUACAUUGUAUUCUCCUAAUGAACAGGUAACUGGUCUGUGUUACAUUGUGUUCUCCUAAUGAACAGGUAACUAGUCUGUGUUACAUUGUAUUCUCCUAAUAAACAGGUAACUGGUCUGUGUUACAUUGUAUUCUCCUAAUGAACAGGUAACUGGUCUGUGUUACAUUGUAUUCUCCUAAUGAACAGGUAACUGGUCUGUGUUACAUUGUAUUCUCCUAAUGAACAGGUAACCGGUCUGUGUUACAUUGUAUUCUCCUAAUGAACAGGUAACUGGUCUGUGUUACAUUGUGUUCUCCUAAUGAACAGGUAACUGGUCUGUGUUACAUUGUAUUCUCCUAAUGAACAGGUAACUGGUCUGUGUUACAUUGUAUUCUCCUAAUGAACAGGUAACUGGUCUGUGUUACAUUGUAUUCUCCUAAUGAACAGGUGACUGGUCUGUGUUACAUUGUGUUCUCCUAAUGAACAGGUAACUGGUCUGUGUUACAUUGUAUUCUCCUAAUGAACAGGUAACUGGUCUGUGUUACAUUGUGUUCUCCUAAUGAACAGGUAACUAGUCUGUGUUACAUUGUAUUCUCCUAAUAAACAGGUAACUGGUCUGUGUUACAUUGUAUUCUCCUAAUGAACAGGUAACUGGUCUGUGUUACAUUGUAUUCUCCUAAUAAACAGGUAACUGGUCUGUG